UUUUCUUUCCAAAUCCCUAAAUCCUUGGCUCAGGAAGUGGAGUUUUGCUGGCCCCCUUUGUGCCAUCUUCAGAGCAGCAACCAGCAGCUCUGAAGACUCCAAGCUUUGAGUUGGGGCUCUGUUCAGGCUGCUUCACCUUGCGUGAGCUCCAGAUGUCACCUCAGGUCCCCGUGCUGGAACCUCAGCUCUCCAUCUCCAGAUCUGAGCAGUGUCGGCGUGUUGACCUCUGCUUUCCUGCUCUAACCUUUAACUCUCAAUCUCCCAUCCUGAGGACUUUCCUCUCUUUCUUUUGAGUGUGAAUAUUUAUUAUGAAAACCAUUUGGUGGUGGCAGCAUAUUUUGUUCUACUCAUGUCUGCCCUUGGUCUGCCAUGUGGCUGGAAGCCUGUCUCUCUUCCACUCACCUGUCCUCCACCUGGUUUUAACAGAGACACACAUGUUUCAAAGACCCUUUAGAUGGAAGAAGUCGGAGGCAUGGAUUGGGACCAGCCAGGGAGAAGAAGAGUAGGCAGCCUCUACCCAGACCACUGGGAGUUUUCAUCAAAGGGAAAGAAGACAAGGCACAGCGCAGGGGCUGGUUCUCAAGGCUUCCACACAAAGCUGACCCAAUCAUUCUGCUCACGUUUCACAGGCUGGAACAGGUCUCCUGGAGACCUAAGCAUUCAAGAAAUAGGAAAAUGGGGCAGCCGGGGUGGCCCAGUGGUUUAGCGAUGCCUUCAGCCCAGGACCUGAUCCUGGAGACCCGGGAUCGAGUCCCACCUCGGGCUCCCUGCAUGGAGCCUGCUUCUCCCUCUCCUGUGCCUCUGCCUCUCUCUCUGUGUCUCUCAUGAAUAAAUAAAUAAAAUAUUAAAAAAAAAAGAAAUAA
rnacentral:lncRNA from 12 species